rnacentral:rRNA from 1 species
UACAGAGGGUGCUAGCGUUGUUCGGAAUCAUUGGGCGUAAAGGGCGUGUAGGCGGUUUGUUAAGUCAUGUGUGAAAUCCCUCGGCUCAACCGGGGAACGACGCAUGAAACUGGCAAGCUAGAGUACCAAAGAGGGGGGUGGAAUUCCCGGUGUAGCGGUGAAAUGCGUAGAUAUCGGGGAGGAACACCUGUGGCGAAGGCGGCUCUCUGGAACGCAACUGACGCUGAGACGCGAAAGCGUGGGGAGCAAACAGG